rnacentral:rRNA from 1 species
UACGUAGGGUGCAAGCGUUAAUCGGAAUUACUGGGCGUAAAGCGUGCGCAGGCGGUUAUGUAAGACAGAUGUGAAAUGCCCGGGCUUAACCUGGGAACUGCAUUUGUGACUGCAUGGCUAGAGUUUGGCAGAGGGGGGUAGAAUUCCACGUGUAGCAGUGAAAUGCGUAGAUAUGUGGAGGAACACCGAUGGCGAAGGCAGGUCUCUGGGCCACUACUGACGCUGAGAAGCGAAAGCAUGGGGAGCGAACAGG